rnacentral:rRNA from 1 species
GAUGAACGCUGGCGGCGUGCCUAAUACAUGCAAGUCGAGCGAACAGAUGAGGAGCUUGCUCCUCUGACGUUAGCGGCGGACGGGUGAGUAACACGUGGAUAACCUACCUAUAAGACUGGGAUAACUUCGGGAAACCGGAGCUAAUACCGGAUAAUAUAUUGAACCGCAUGGUUCAAUAGUGAAAGACGGUUUUGCUGUCACUUAUAGAUGGAUCCGCGCCGCAUUAGCUAGUUGGUAAGGUAACGGCUUACCAAGGCAACGAUGCGUAGCCGACCGGAGAGGGUGAUCGGCCAAAAUGGAGCUGAGACACGGUCAAGACUCCUACGGGAGGCAGCAGUAGGGAAUCUUCGGCAAUGGACGAAAGUCUGACGGAGCAACGCAGCGUGAGUGAAGAAGGUCUUCGGAUCGUAAAACUCUGUUAUUAGGGAAGAACAAAUGUGUAAGUAACUAUGCACGUCUUGACGGUACCUAAUCAGAAAGCAACGGCUAACUACGUG